UUGAGUGAAAAGAAAGUAGAAGAAAAGAAAAUUACGGAAACCGAUGGAUGAACUUGGACUAAAGUUUGUCCAAAUUUAUCCAUCAGUUUCCGUAAUUUUCUUUCCUUCCAUUUUCUUUCCUUCAAAC
rnacentral:pre_miRNA from 1 species